rnacentral:lncRNA from 1 species
UUGAACAUGUAUCCUUAUUUGACCUUGCCUUGGUUAUCAUGUUGUGAAAUGCUUGAUUCUUAUCCAAUGAAUGUGAAAUUUUGCAUGAUAAAACUAGACACAUUGCUCGACAUUUUGGUGUUGAUUUGGUAUUUUUAUCAAUUGUCAUUUCUGUUUUAUGAUUGUGCUAAGUUGGUGUGACAAUUUGUGUCACACCUUUGC